AGAGUUUGAUCCUGGCUCAGAACGAACGCUGGCGGCGUGUCUUAAGCAUGCAAGUCGUGCGGCAAGGCUAGCAAUAGCCCUAGAGCGGCGGACUGGUGAGUAACGCGUGGGUGAUCUGCCCUUGGGAUGGGGAUAGCCUCUAGAAAUAGAGGGUAAUACCGAAUACGUUCGCGAGGUUGUGACCUUGCGAGGAAAAGCGCUUCGGCGCUGCCCGAGGAUGAGCCCGCGUCCCAUUAGCUAGUUGGUGAGGUAAUGGCCCACCAAGGCGAUGAUGGGUAGGCGGCCUGAGAGGGUGUACGCCCACACUGGGACUGAGAUACGGCCCAGACUCCUACGGGAGGCAGCAGCUAAGAAUAUUCCGCAAUGGACGAAAGUCUGACGGAGCGACGCCGCGUGGAUGACGAAGGCCGAAAGGUUGUAAAAUCCUUUUGUUGGGGAAGAAUAAGCGUGGGAGGGAAUGCCCGCGUGAUGACAUGAACCGACGAAUAAGCCCCGGCUAACUACGUGCCAGCAGCCGCGGUAAUAC
rnacentral:rRNA from 1 species